UAUAUACUGCUCUCAUGUGGGGUGCCUGCUGGAUUCUCUCCAGGGCAGCCACUGUAUUUAGCUCCCUUCAUGGCUGGUUGGAUGUCAGACACAGCAGAAUCUUCUUCUCAGUUAGAAAUUACUCCUAAAAUUCAUUUUGCUGUUACAUCACCCACAAAAGGAACUCCAGGACAAUCUGCCAUCAUUAAAACUGUAGAAUGUGAAGUGAGGUGGUACAGUUUCCAUUUUCAGUGGGAGGGCCACCUUUCAAAGGCCACCUGGAUAAGAAACAGAAUAAGAUGCAAAUAG
rnacentral:lncRNA from 1 species